UAGUUCUAUUAGUAUUAUUAG
rnacentral:piRNA from 1 species